rnacentral:rRNA from 1 species
GCCGUGGACGUUUGAGAUUUGAGAGGGGCUGCUCCUAGUACGAGAGGACCGGAGUGGACGAACCUCUGGUGUUCCGGUUGUCACGCCAGUGGCAUUGCCGGGUAGCUAUGUUCGGAAGAGAUAACCGCUGAAAGCAUCUAAGCGGGAAACUUGCCUCAAGAUGAGAUCUCACUGGAGCCUUGAGCUCCCUGAAGGGCCGUCGAAGACUACGACGUUGAUAGGUUGGGUGUGUAAGCGCUGUGAGGCGUUGAGCUAACCAAUACUAAUUGCCCGUGAGGCUUGACCAUAUAACACCCAAACAAUU